UGUACAAGAAGCAUGACACUGGCAUCUGCUUCUGGUGAGGAGCUCUGGCUGCUUCCACUCACAGUGGAAGGUGAAGGGGAGCCAUCACGUGAAGAUCACAAGGAUGCAAUGGAAAAGAUACAUAGGGGAUCAAAUACAUAUGAUGGUGGAAGUGAAAACCAUUCCUUUGUGCUUCCUUGUUUCCUGAAGGGGUGCCUCUGAAAUUCAGUGAUCUCAACAGGCCACGUGGAGAGAGAGGUCUGCUUGGACACAUAAGCCCAGACAUGCAUGCCACUUGCUCUCUUUUUUCCCAUUUAUUUCCAGCUUGGGGUGGCAGAUAUGUCCUCCCCAUAACUCAGGCUUACCAUCGAGGCUUAUAACUUCUUGCCAUUCCAGUUCCAUAAGCCAGUUUGAUAACGCUUACAGGGUAUCAUAUGUAGCCCAGCCAUUUCUGGAUAUAUAUUUUUUAUUUCUUGCUGCAUCACACACCUAUUUUCUGAUUCAGUGUAGCAGGACUUGCUACCAUUUAUCACAACGAGCACUGGAAUCUCUCUUCUGGAAGUGAGAAAACUGAAGUGAAGAGAGGCUGCAGAAUUGAUCUAAGGCUAGCAGGACUUACUGUUGAAGUCUAUCAUGGACCAAAGGUCUCAAACCAGUAAUCUUUUUUAUAAUUCCUGCUGUAGCUCAUGCAAUGCUAAUACUUUCUGUAAUGCUAAUUAUGUCAUUUGAAUUAAAUUUAAAGGUUCUUUAGAAACCUUUUUAAGACAGGUGAAUCCUGUUUUAAUAGGGUAAUGAUUACUUUGUAACCUUAUAG
rnacentral:lncRNA from 10 species